UCUGACGAACAGAGGCGACGACCCUCGUUCCGUAACCACGGGCACCUGGAACGAGUCGAGCCAUUGGUGCGACCGGCUUUCGUCCGA
rfam:Deinococcus peraridilitoris DSM 19664, complete genome.